rnacentral:rRNA from 1 species
AUUGAACGCUGGCGGCAUGCCUUACACAUGCAAGUCGAACGGCAGCACGGGAGCAAUCCUGGUGGCGAGUGGCGAACGGGUGAGUAAUAUAUCGGAACGUGCCCAGUCGUGGGGAUAACGUAGCGAAAGCUACGCUAAUACCGCAUACGAUCUAUGGAUGAAAGCGGGGGAUCGCAAGACCUCGCGCGAUUGGAGCGGCCGAUAUCAGAUUAGGUAGUUGGUGAGGUAAAGGCUCACCAAGCCGACGAUCUGUAGCUGGUCUGAGAGGACGACCAGCCACACUGGGACUGAGACACGGCCCAGACUCCUACGGGAGGCAGCAGUGGGGGAAUUUUUCGGACAAUGGGCGCAAGCCUGAUCCAGCAAUGCCGCGUGCAGGAUGAAGGCCUUC